rnacentral:rRNA from 1 species
AUUGAACGCUGGCGGCAGGCCUAACACAUGCAAGUCGAGCGAGCGGCGGACGGGUGAGUAAUAUCUGGGAAACUGCCUGAUGGAGGGGGAUAACUACUGGAAACGGGAGCUAAUACCGCAUACCCUCAGAUGUGCCCAGAGGGGAUUAGCUAGUAGGUGGGGUAACGGCUAACCUAGGCGACGAUGCCUAGCUGGUCUGAGAGGAUGACCAGCCACACGGGAACUGAGACACGGUCCAGACUCCGACGGGAGGCAGCAGUGGGGAAUAUUGCACAAUGGGCGCAAGCCGGAUGCAGCCAUGCCGCGUGUGUGAAGAAGGUCUUCGGGUUGUAAAGCACUGUCAGCGGGGAGGCGUUACCCGCAGAAGAAGCACCGGCUAACUCCGUGCCAGCAGCCGCGGUAAUAC